AUACGAAGGGUGCAAGCGUUGUUCGGAUUUACUGGGCGUAAAGCGCGCGCAGGCGGAUUAGCAAGUCAGAUGUGAAAUCUCGGGGCUCAACCCCGAAACUGCGUCUGAAACUGUUAAUCUAGAGUUUCGGAGAGGGAUGGGGAAUUUCCUGUGUAGGGGUAAAAUCCGUAGAGAUAGGAAGGAACACCAGAGGCGAAGGCGCCAUCCUGGACGAAUACUGACGCUGAGGCGCGAAAGCGUGGGGAGCAAACAGGAUUAGAUACCCUGGUAGUCCACGCCGUAAACGAUGAGAACUAACUAUUGGAGGUAUUGACUCCUUCAGUGGUAUAGCUAACGCGUUAAGUUCUCCGCCUGGGGAGUACGGUCGCAAGACUAAA
rnacentral:rRNA from 1 species